CACCAUCACCAUCAUCAUCACCAUCAUCAUCACUGACCAGCUGAACACAGCAGCUCAAUCCAUCAGGAGAAGAUCAGGAGAGACCAGCACCACGAUCCACAGAGCGAGUGAUAUCAGAUCCACAGUUCAGGAGGAAAACUGCAAAUUUCUUAUUCUAAUAAAAAUGGAUUUUAUAAAGAAAGUGAAGAAAGCAGCGUCGGACGUGGUGAACGUCACCAGUGGAACAGCGAAAGCGGCAAAGGUGAUAGCGGAGGGUUCUGAGGAGAUAACUGGAGUCGUUACUAAAGGUGUAGAAGAUGCUGCGGGUUCUGUUAACAGGUUCUUUAAAAAAGCCCAGAAAACUGUGAAGAACCUGUAACUGCUGAUCACAGGAAAUCUUCAAAAAACAGAUUUUAUUUCUUCUUUUAUAUCUACAUAUUUGUGCUUUUAAUAUCAUAAUGUAACAAAUGUAAUGCUCAGUUUAAAGAUGUGAAUAUUAUUU